AACGCGAAGAACCUUACCUGGUCUUGACAUAGUAAGAACUUUCCAGAGAUGGAUUGGUGCCUUCGGGAACUUACAUACAGGUGCUGCAUGGCUGUCGUCAGCUCGUGUCGUGAGAUGUUGGGUUAAGUCCCGCAACGAGCGCAACCCUUUUCCUUAUUUGCCAGCACUUCGGGUGGGAACUUUAAGGAUACUGCCAGUGACAAACUGGAGGAAGGCGGGGACGACGUCAAGUCAUCAUGGCCCUUACGGCCAGGGCUACACACGUGCUACAAUGGUCGGUACAAAGGGUUGCUACACAGCGAUGUGAUGCUAAUCUCAAAAAGCCGAUCGUAGUCCGGAUUGGAGUCUGCAACUCGACUCCGUGAAGUCGGAAUCGCUAGUAAUCGUGGAUCAGAAUGCCACGGUGAAUACGUUCCCGGGUCUUGUACACACCG
rnacentral:rRNA from 1 species